CCAUUUGGGGCCUAGUAGGCCUCCCUGCAGCCUCCUGGGAGAAAAAACGGGCCAUGGGGGAGCACUUUCCCCCCACGCAUGCACGGGCACUUCCCAUGUGUCCCGCCCCCCGCACAUGCGCAGCAGAGACCUGAAAAACAGCUGGACAGCGGGAGGCAGACGCGCAUGUGCGGUGGGGCUGAGCUGGAGCAACGGCUUGCAUGCCAUACGUUCGCCAUCACGGAGUUAGUGUAAGGAAUGGAAAUAAUGAAAUUCAUUUCCAUUUAUGAAAAAAGAGCUCUGGAUAUAAUCCUUGAUGCUGAAAACACUUCCAGUAGAAAAGAAAUAAUAAAUGCUUUAAAAAGUGAUAUUAUAUUAUUAAAAACACAAUUUAAGUUUAGCGUUUGCUUAAAGGACCAUUCAAAUUACCAUAUAUCAAUGUAAUGAUAUUGUUAAUGCAAAUGAUAAAAUUAGAAAUAAUGGAAAUUGUGUCAUUUGCUUGCUUGGGGUGGAAGUAAGGUACAUUUAAGUAAAUUGUGCAGAUUACUUUGGAUAUAACAAAGUUUAUGUCAGGCAUAUUGUGUGUCUGCAAAUUUUCACUAUUGUGUAGUGAACGGGAGCAUAGUAAAUCAAGAUUUUUCCUCCCCUGCUAACUUUAAAUUUUUCACUUUGCUGUUUGAUAAUUUUACCCUCACCCAAAAAAAGUGCUUAAACUCUGGAUUGAGGAAGGAGGGAGUAGUGAAAAGGAGGGAAAUUUUCCCUUGGAAAAUUGUAGGAGUAAAGAGUAAGUACUUCAAAUGGUAACCUUAGCAAUUUCUUCAGGUGAACCAAACAAAAACCAUUAGACCUCUUUUGAAGGAUAGCUUUCCAAAAGUUUCACCUUGUUUAUUUAGUUUUGUCUUGGCAUGUUGCAUGAAUGCAAUUAUGAGUUAUAAGCUCUCAUUAAAGACAAGGCAGUGCAUACAUUCAGACAAUUGUGAUGUAUUUAACAAACCAUGGUUUAACAGGUCUUGGGAACAGAUUUUUCACUCAGGUGAAAAGUAUUUGAAAGGUUGAUGCAGACAUGUAAAUUUUUUCACAAACUAUAAUUUUAACUUUCUAAGGUGUUCUGAUGUUAGAAAAUUCAUGUGGGACCCCUAUAUCCAGUGCUGUUAAACACUCUGGUCGAUUAAAUCAGGGACUACCUCCACAGGAAGAAAAAAAGAAACAGAAACUAAUUUUGGGUCCCCAGUCAGGCAGCCUUUCCAGUAAAUACAUGACUCAGGGAAAAGCUUCACAGAAGAGACCCCAACAAGAUUCUUAAGAAACUGAAGCAAUCUUUCAGUUGCAAUACAGACCAUCAAUUUCCUUCAGAAAAUUUUCUUUUCUUUUAUAGGCUUUGGGUUCACAAAACAGCAGCAAAAACUGUCUUUGACAUAAAUCUAGAGAAAACACCUUUUAUUUUAAUUAAAUUGCUAAAGUUACAAAGGAAUGAAUUUUAAUGUUUGUUCAUACCAUGAAUCCUUGCUCUGAAUAGGUUUGAGCAUUUUAAUAGAAAAUCAUGUUUGUAUUUACUAGGUAAAACAUGUAGAUCAGGGAAAUCCUUCACCCAAAUCACUUCUAAGACUUUCUACAUUCAGUGUGAAUGUUUGAGUGCACUUAAAUGAUGUGCAAGCCAAAUAUAAUGUCACCUUCAAAAUAUUAUUUUUGAAGGAUAAAAAGGGUAUUUAUUAAUGUUGAACAUUGAUUCCUUGUGUAAAAGUGUUUGGAAUAUUUCUGGACUGCUACUGCCAUAUUUGCAAAUAUUUUAAACUGUGGACAACUAAAACAUGGAUAUUAAGUAAACUUUUAUGUAAAAAUGUUUGUGGAAAGCAGUGCCAAUGAGUGAGUUUUUCCCUUCUAUUUUAUUAUGAUUGCUAUGCUGCUGUCCUUUCUGUACAGAGAGAGUGAGAAGCAAGUUAGCUAUGUUUGCUGCUGCUAUGAUUAUUUCCCAUUGUCCACAACUUGAAAAUAUUCCUCUGAGGAAACAAAGGGAAUUAAAACAAAGGAACGCAUUUCUGCUUUAUUGAAAACUAAACAUGAGUGUGCUGGGCAAGGAUUUACUUUUAUAUCAUCAUCAUCAUCAUCAAAGUUUUAUGUCAGAAUUUUCUGCAGAUGAUGCGGUACAACCUUUCCAGGAGAAAAUAUACAGCAAAAACAUAAGAAACUGUUAUUUAUGACCUUGGAAAUAAAACAGUCAAAAGAAUACUUUAAAUUUC